rnacentral:rRNA from 1 species
UACGUAGGGAGCGAGCGUUAUCCGGAUUUACUGGGUGUAAAGGGUGCGUAGGCGGCUAUGUAAGUCAGGCGUGAAAUGUACGGGCUUAACCUGUGAACUGCGUUUGAAACUGUAUAGCUUGAGUCGAGUAGAGGCAGACGGAAUUUCCGGUGUAGCGGUGAAAUGCGUAGAGAUCGGAAGGAACACCAGUGGCGAAGGCGGUCUGCUGGGCUUGAACUGACGCUGAGGCACGAAAGCAUGGGGAGCAAACA